GCCAGCGUGACGGGUUCCCCCCAGUGCCUGCCCCGGCCCCAGCGCUGCCCCGCGCUACGCCGCGCAGGGGCUGGUGCCGGCACUGGGUAGCAGGAUGGGCUGUAUCCAGAGCAUCACCUGCAAGGCGCGGAUCCGGCGGGAGAACAUCGUGGUAUACGAUGUUUGCGCCACCAUCGACCAGUGCCCCACGCUCAUCGAGGAAAGCUCGCCCAUCGUUUUGCGGUACAAGACCCCUUACUUCAAAGCCUCCGCCCGGGUGGUCAUGCCCCCCAUCCCCCGCAACGAGACCUGGGUGGUAGGCUGGAUUCAAGCCUGCAACCAGAUGGAGUUCUUCAACACGUACAGCGACCUGGGCAUGUCAAGCUGGGAACUGCCGGAUUUGAGGGAAGGGAGAGUAAAAGCCAUCAGUGACUCGGAUGGGGUGAGCUAUCCUUGGUAUGGAAAUACUACCGAAACUGUGACUCUGGUUGGACCCACCAACAAGAUUUCCAGGUUCUCAGUCAGUAUGAAUGACAAUUUCUACCCCAGUGUGACAUGGGCUGUCCCUGUGAGUGAUAGUAAUGUUCCACUGCUGACGAGGAUCAAGAGGGAUCAAAGUUUUACCACCUGGCUAGUGGCCAUGAACACAACUACAAAAGAGAAGAUUAUCCUACAGACCAUCAAAUGGAGGAUGAGAGUGGACAUUGAGGUGGAUCCCCUGCAGCUUCUGGGGCACCGAGCCCGCUUGGUGGGCAGGACUCAGCAAGAACAGCCCAAGAUCCUGAAUCGAAUGGAACCCAUUCCCCCCAAUGCACUAGUGAAGCCCAAUGCCAAUGAUGCCCAAGUCCUCAUGUGGAGACCCAAGCGAGGACAGCCUCUGGUUGUGAUACCUCCUAAAUAGAAUAUUAUCGUGUGUCUGGUACACACAGCCAAGGAGUGGAAUGAUGCUGUCAGGGCAUAGUGUGAACAAAAACUGAUAUUCUGAGCCAAAGCAGACCUCUCGGGUUUGCCUGCCUUUGCAGCCACUAGGAAAAAAUGGGGUUGCUCUUCAGGCAGAGGAAUCAUAUUCCCUGGGAAGGUCCCUCCUUAUUAAGGAAAGGAAAUCACUGAUCUUAUGGACUUCCUGUGAUGUAUCCUGUGGGUAGCCAUACUUCAGGUCUGAUUAAGGAGGCUUCCUUUACCUGAACAACUGAACUGAAUCCUUUGCAGUGAGACACAAGGAAUGAAAACACAAUUAAUCAGUGCCUGUGGCAAAUGCUGCUUCCCAACCAUUAGAAGUGGAAAUGGAAAACAUCCAUACCAGGUCUCCUGGUAGGACAAGGCAAGUCCAGCCAACAGAACCACAUGGCAGAAACUAGCAGGAUAUAAAUGAGAAAUGGCCUGUGGCUUUUGAAGCUGAAGCCCUGGACAGAUGCUUCCCUGCUUAAAAAAAUAUAGUACCAUCCAGCCUCCCACACCACCGCCUUCCCAUUUGUGGGACCAGAUGCUUCCCAUCCAACCUAACCCUGUGGUGCCAUGAGAACUUUGCCACUGACUUUCUGGGUGUCAUUUGGAAUGGUCUGCUGGGAGCUGUACCUGCCAAGUCUAUGUCUUGCAUAGAGAGAUUAACUUAAUCUAAACAGAAAAUCCAUCUCCCCUCUCCCCUGUGGUGAACCACUGCAGAGCCCAAGAUUUGGUCAAAUCAGACUUUGUGGCACUAGCCACCAGGGCUCUGACUCUUGCCUUUCUGAUUGGCUGCUGUUCUGCCUAGAUCAGCUUAGGGUGAAAAGCAAGGGGAACAUUUAUGUCUUCCUUCUCUCCUUUCUUCCCUUCUCUUUUCCCUAUCCCCAAUCCCAUCCCUGCUGAAUAUCAACCAAGAGGGCAGGAUGCGGUCAGCUUCUAUUAAGCAUUUUCAAAGCAUCCAAAGACAUUUCCAUACAAGAAGGGCCAGAGAAAAGGAGAGAUAAAUUCCCUCUGGGAAGCUUUGUCACAAGGACCAAGUAACAUUCAAAGACCAUGGAAGAAGCUUCAGAUGUUACAGAAAACCAAGCAUGAGCAAGCAGGGUCUCCUUGAUGUUGGCAGUGGAAUGAGAGGAGAACUACCCAAAGGAAUCACCAUUCAUUUGUUCAUUUUUUGACUUUGGUAUAUACAUAUGUAUGUUUUUAAAGUAUGUACUUGUUGUAAACUGAAAAGCUGUCUUCCAUUUUUGAAAUAAUUAGUCUCAGUUUUAGCCACAGGAUAGGGCAAUACAAUCUUUGGAACCACAGAGAAAAGUCAAAUAAACCCGGGAUCCAAAGACGUUUGAGGCCAUCAUAUCCAAUCGCUGUAUUUUAUAAACAAGGAACAGGAGACACAGAGAAAUAAGAUAGUUUCCCAGGAUUGUGAAGUCAAAAAGGAGAAAAGCUGGUCUUCAAACCUAAGUUCUCUGAUUCCAAAAUCAGAGCUCUUACCAGCACACUGAAUGCUCCAAAAAACAUACUUUCCAAGGUUUAAAUUCAUUCCAUCAAAAAUCCCUCUCCUCCCUUGGAAUGCUCAUUCCAACUCGAACCCUAAUUCUGACUCUACCAUGCAGAUGAUGAAACACUUAAGACCAUUUUAGAAGUUAAAAGGGAAAUUAGCAAGCUAGUACAAACUUGGAUGAAAUGACCUCUAAAAGUCCCUUCCAAAUUUAAAUCUAGGGUUUUCUUAUCAGUACCUCUCCUUUUAUCACUGAAGAAACUGAGGCCCAAGGUGGUGGGGACAGUGAUUUGUCAAAGUAGCACAGUUAGUGGCAAAAUAAAGACUGGAACUCAGAUCUCCUGAGCCAGUCCAGUGCUCUCUACAUUACCUCAUACAUCAAAACCUUUACUGUCCUAUUCAUUUUUACUUCUAACCCUAUGGAAUGUUGGGGUAGGAAGUUGCUGUCAGGUUCCAACCCACCAUUUAAAGAUCUAUGUUCCUUGUUAUUUAUUUGCCAUCCUCCAAAGGUCCUUCAAAUCCAAGAUCUGAUGUUUCCUUAAUUAUUAAGAAUAGGAUUGUGGAAUAAAUCAAUUGGAAAAAGAAGGAAUUAUUUUUACCCUUCCUCCUACUCCAUUCUCCUCAUUGAACCUUCCCUUAUUCCUUAUAUCUAACUUGCAGCAGAUUUCAAAGUAAAGGGACAAGAAAGUGCUGAGUACUGGGUUUAUUUUUUCUUACCAUGAUGCUUCAGAUAUUUACAAUAGUCUUCAAGUAUCUGAAGAGUUAUCAUAUGGAAGAGAAAUUAUGUUUGAUUUACUAAAAGGCAGGACUAAGCACAAUGAAUGAAAAUGCAGAAGGGCAGAUUUAGGCCUAGUAAAAAGGAAAACCAUCUUGUAAUUAGAGCUGUUCAAAAACAAUGGACUGCCUUCAGGAGAGAUGAAUUUCCCCUCACUGGAGAUCUUCAAGCAAAGACUGGAUAAUCAUAAAUUGGGGUUGUGGUAGAAAGGAUUCUUGGCCAGAAACAGGUUGGACUAGAUGUCUCCCACAGUUCUUCCAAACUCUGAAAUUCUAGGAUACCCCAAAAGAACCAUCAAGCCACUCUUGGUCCACAUACAGAAGCUCCAAGAGCAGAAAUCUACCAAUCCCAGCAGAUUGUCAUUCAAGAUCCCCACCUUCCUUCCUUCUUUAUCUUUGUCACCAUGACUAGAUUUUCAGACUCCAAAAUUUUGGGGGGGGAUUCAAUGUUGUUCCACUCUCCCUCUCUGAAAUAGGUCUUCCUAUUUCUCAAGUCCUGGGCCUGAGACUUUCCUUAGGAGUCUUCUAAGUGAAAUUCUAAAUAACACUUGAGGAAAGAGAUAAUAUUGCCAAAAAGUCAGUAGUCAUCAAGAGAUCAAAGAUAUUGGUGCCUUCCAAUAUUUGUUGGUUGACUAAAUGGUAUCACUAUGGUUUUCAUAGCUAUGGAGAGGACCCUUUUGUAUACAUUAGGGGAUAUAUUUUCCAUGUCUAUAGGCACACAGAAGCUCAUUUGAAAUGGAAUUCCAAAUAGAAACAAUUCACAAUUUUCAGCAUUUCUUAUUCAUUGAAUUUUCACCAUACUGUGUCAUAAUGAAUAUAUAUUAACUCCAGAAUCCACGUGUAUAUACUCAGACUAUUGUGAUAUAUACAAUAACUUAUCAUGAAGUAGGCAAAGUUAUCACUGAUACUUGAAAAUUUCUCACUUUCCCUUAACCCCCCACUAGUAGUUAUGUUUUCAAAAUGUUCUCCAGCUAUCCAUAAGUAUAAACUAUUUUCUUUUAUUCCCCCAUUCUAUCUCAGUCUGGCAUAUUUUCCCCAUAUACCUUCCUAUGCUGUAGAUCCUCACCAAAGUCAAAACUUACCUCUUUGGUCUCCUGUUCCCUCCAAAACUUGAUUGUCAUUAUGUGCCAACUUGAACAAUCUAAUCAACGGCUCUUCCAUAAGGUUUUAGUGGGUGCUAAUAGGCUAAAUUAUUAUGCCUCCUAAGUAAAUACAUCAUUUAACCCAGACCUCCUAGAAGCUAUGCCUUAACCCAAAACUAUGACUAAUGGUAGACUUUUUAGGCACUUUAUUAGGCCCAUUGGGAGGAUAUAUUUAGGCAGAUGAACUAAUGGGAGAUAUUUUUAGAAAGGCGAGUUCCUCAAAUCAUGGCAAGAUGUGGGCUCCCCACCCGGCCUAUAGAUAGGACUAAUACCAUCCACACCCAAGGAAAUAUACAUGUACUUUUCACUGUCUUGAGAUUCUUUUUUCAGUAUUUCUUUGUUGAUGUAUAUAAAAAGUAACCAGCCAAAUUAACUGAAACCUAAGAAAUUUAAAGUAUCAGCUUCCAUUUCACUGUCUGGUAACCACUUGACUUUAACCUACUGCCUUUUGCUCCCCCUGAAAUCACCUGUUUUGCUUCUUUACAAAUCUCCUCCUAUCCUUUCUUUGCAGUUUUCCUUUUGAGUUGUAUGUUUGAUAUUACCAAGGAUGGGAGAGGAGGUUCAGAACACAAGCAUGUAUGUAUGUAUGUAUGUAUGUGUGUGUGUGUGUGUGUGUGAUUUUGGAGGAAAAAAAAUCAGGUAUUCUGCUUUGGUUUGGAGAAAACCCCAAUGAAGGAAAAGAUGAAAGCUGGCUUUGCAGAGUGCCUUAAAAAUGACUUUAAUUAGGAAAUUCUGACUCUUCAGUCUUUGGAUGUUACAGAAACUCAAACAGAUGUUGCAUUUCACUUCUCUGGGAUUAAAAAAAAGUUAAAUACAGUAUGUAUUCAACCAACAAAAAUGUAUGUUUUUUUUUCUGUUCCAACUUGGUUUUUAAAGUUGCAGUACAUGGUUUUCUACAGAGCGCUCGCAGAAGGUUAUUGGGAAAAACCAAUCCAAAGAACUCCUGGAAUAUACUGGGAGCCAGUAAUUCAGGGAUAACACCAAGAAAGGGCAGUAACAUUGGACCAAUGGCUAUUGUAGCAAUGAUGAACACUCACCAUGAGAGCUAGUCCGGGAGAGAAUAUCAACAGGAGAAAGAGAGAGCACCAACAACAGAAAUUAAGAAAGACAAGAUCAUGGACAUGAAGGAUAAAAAAAAAAUGGGAACUAUGAAAAAGAGAGGAAUCCCCUCCCUAAUUUACUGCCCUUUAUCUCAGGCCUGGGACUUCAGGGUUCUAAGUCAUACCAUCAUAUAUCAUGUCACAUCAUGCCCCACCAUGGUUUGGCAUGGUAUGGCAUGGUAUGUGACAUGUCAUAUCAUAUCAUACUAAGACAGUGUGCUAUAAUGAAAAGAUUACUGAAUUUGAGGUCAUAGAAUGUUGGUAUAAUAGCUCAGUCAAAUACUGCCUUGUGACCUCAGACAAGUCAUUUGAAUUCUUUAAUUUUCUCAUCUGUGAAAUCAGGGAAUUGAACCAGAAUGACCUCUAAGGUCCCUUCAAACUUUGAGCCUAUGACCUCAUAUUGUUAUCAUAUCACAUUAUAUAUCAUGCUAUGUCAUGUCGUGUUAUAUAGUAAGUCAUGAUGAUUUCCAAGACACUGGGAUCAAUAGUAACAAACAUAAAGUCUUGCUUGCCAUCUCCACUCAUCUUCAUCCCUCCUUUCUUCACAUACAGCUUUCCUUCUAAGCAUACUCCUUUCUACUUCAUUAUUCCAUUGUUCCAAGUGGUCUUGGAGCUGAACACAUACUCAGCAUCUGCCAUUCAUUACUUGACCAAAAAAGAAAAAGUGGGGAAGAUUGGGGAAGUAAGAAGAGACUUUGUAAGCCUGAGUUUCUAAAAGCAGUGACAAGUUUUUCCAGUUGCUCAUUUCAAUUAUUCCAGAUGUUUUGUUUUAAUUGAUCAGACCCUAUCCAGUCACUAGAAUCUCCUGAUGUACUUCAUAUCUAAAAAUUAUAGAGGAUGGGGAAGAACUAAGUUUAUGUCCUUUCUUACUUCAGAGACCAUAACUCAAUCCCUUUUCUCUGGACAUCUGCUUUUUCCUCCCCAACAUCCAUCCAAAGGCAGGACAUGUCAGAGAGUCAGGAACCAGAUACAACUCUGGGCAUGUGAGCAACCUUACCUUUCUUGGGUUGCCAAGGUUUAAAAAUAAAAGCAUUUAUAAGCCCCAGUUCAGGAAAGAACAAGCAAGAGAAAGGGAAACUUGUAACUAAUAUGAGUUGCCAUUCUUAAAAGAAUAAAAAUUAAAAUAAACAUCUGUAACCUAAAUUC